CUUCCUACGGGAGGCAGCAGUGAGGAAUAUUGGUCAAUGGUCGGGAGACUGAACCAGCCAAGCCGCGUGAGGGAUGAAGGUACAGAGUAUCGUAAACCUCUUUUGUCAGGGAACAAAGGCGGGGACGUGUCCCCGGAUGAGUGUACCUGAAGAAAAAGCAUCGGCUAACUCCGUGCCAGCAGCCGCGGUAAUACGGAGGAUGCGAGCGUUAUCCGGAUUUAUUGGGUUUAAAGGGUGCGCAGGCGGUCGGUUAAGUCAGCGGUCAAAGCUAGGGGCUCAACCCCGGCCCGCAGGUGAUAGUGGCA
rnacentral:rRNA from 1 species